rnacentral:rRNA from 1 species
CCUACGGGUGACAGCAGUGGGGAAUCUUUCACAAUGGGCGAAAGCCUGAUGCAGCAACGCCGCGUGCAGGAUGAAGGCCUUCGGGUUGUAAACUGCUUUUAUAAGCGAGAAAUAUGAUGGUAGCUUCUGACUCAGGAUCGGCUAACUACGUGCCAGCCGCCGCGGUCAUACGUAGGAUCCGAGCAUUAUCCGGAGUGACUGGGGGUAAAGAGUUGCGUAGGUGGCAUAAUAAGUAGCUAGUGAAAUCUGGUGGCUCAACCAUUCAGACUAUUAGCUAAACUGUUAAGCUCGAGAGCGUUAGGGGUAAGUGGAAUUUCUAGUGUAGGAGUGAAAUCCGUAGAUAUUAGACGGAACACCAAUAGCGUAGGCAGGGUGCUGGGACGGAUCUGACACUAAGGCACGAAAGCGUAGGGAGCAAACGGGAUUAGAUACCCGAGUAGUC